rnacentral:rRNA from 1 species
GCGGUAAUUCCAGCUCCAAUAGCGUAUAUUUAAGUUGUUGCGGUUAAAACGCUCGUAGUUGGACUUUGGGCCCCGUUUCGUCGGUCCGCCCUCGCGGGCGCGCACCGCACGUCCGGCGGCCUUUUUGGUCGGCCGCCGCGGCUGGGCUUCACUGUCUGGCCGCGGUCGUCCGUCCGGGUUACUUUGAGGAAAAUAGAGUGUUCAAAGCAGGCGGCUGCCCGAAUACGCUAGCAUGGAAUAACACGAGAGGGCUGUGGGCCGCACGUGGUUGGUCUGCGGUGUCCGUAGCAAUGAUCGAGAGGAGCGGUCGGGGGCAUUCGUAUUCCACUGUCAGAGGUGAAAUUCUUGGAUUUGUGGAAGGCGAACAUCUGCGAAAGCGAUUGCCAAGGACGUCUCCGUUGAUCAAGAACGAAAGUUGGGGGAUCGAAGAUGAUUAGAUACCGUCGUAGUCCCAACCGUAAACGAUGCCGACUAGGGAUCGGCGGGCGUUCCGUUUUGAGGCCCCGCCGGCACCUGACGAGAAAUCGAAGUCUUUGGGUUCCGGGGGGAGUACGGUCGCAAGGCUGAAACUUAAAGGAAUUGACGGAAGGGCACCACCAGGCGUGGAGCCUGCGGCUUAAUUUGACUCAACACGGGGAACCUCACCAGGUCCGGACAUGGCGAGGAUGGACAGAUUGAGAGCUCUUUCUUGAUUUCAUGGGUGGUGGUGCAUGGCCGUUCCCAGUUCGUGGGUUGCCUUGUCAGGUUAAUUCCGGUAACGAACGAGACCUCAACCUGCUAAAUAGCCCCGUCCGGCCCGCCGGGCGGCCGGCUUCUUAGAGGGACUGCUGGCACACGCCAGCGGAAGUUUGAGGCGAUAACAGGUCUGUGAUGCCCUUAGAUGUCCUGGGCCGCACGCGCGCUACACUGGCGCGGGAAGAGAGUGCGCCCUGGGCAGAAAUGCCCGGGCAAUCUUGAAAACCGCCCCGUGACGGGGAUAGACUCUUGCAAUUCUUGGUCUUGAACGAGGAAUGCCUCGUAAUCGCGAGUCAUCAGCUCGCGAUGAUUACGUCCCUGCCCUUUGUACACACCGCCCGUCGCUCCGACCGAUUGAACGUCCUGGUGAAACGCGCGGAAGCGCCGCGCUCCGGCGCGGCGCUGAAGCACUUUGAACCCUGGCGUUUAGAGGAUGGAGAAGUCGUAAC